rnacentral:rRNA from 1 species
UACGUAGGUGGCAAGCGUUGUCCGGAAUUAUUGGGCGUAAAGCGCGCGCAGGCGGUUCCUUAAGUCUGAUGUGAAAGCCCACGGCUCAACCGUGGAGGGUCAUUGGAAACUGGGGAACUUGAGUGCAGGAGAGAAGAGUGGAAUUCCACGUGUAGCGGUGAAAUGCGUAGAGAUGUGGAGGAACACCAGUGGCGAAGGCGACUCUUUGGUCUGUAACUGACGCUGAGGCGCGAAAGCGUGGGGAGCAAACAGG